rnacentral:tRNA from 1 species
CCCCUUGGUCAAGCGGUUAAGACACCGCCCUUUCACGGCGGUAACACGGGUUCGAAUCCCGUAGGGGUCA